AUUCCAGCUCCAAUAGCGUAUAUUAAAGUUGUUGCGGUUAAAAAGCUCGUAGUUGGAGUUCUGCCAGGUGCCACCUGUCCGCCCCAGUGGUGAGUACGUGGUGCGCAUUUGGCCCUUUCAAGGGGAGCGUAUUUGCACUUAAUUGUGUGGUGCGGGAUCCUUGACUUUUACUUUGAGGAAAUAAGAGUGUUCCAAGCAGGCUCUCGUCGUGCAUAGCUCAGCAUGGAAUAAUAGCAUUGGACCUCGAUUCUAAGCUGUUGGUUGCAAGAAGCGAGGUAAUGAUGAAGAGGGAUAGUUGGGGGCAUUCGUAUUUAACUGUCAGAGGUGAAAUUCUUGGAUUUACGGAAGACGAACCACUGCGAAAGCAUUUACCAAGGAUGUUUUCAUCG
rnacentral:rRNA from 1 species